UGCAUCAUGUGAGACCUGCGUUACUUGAGAUUACACUGGGAUCGAUUUUCAACCGUAUACAUGUACGUCUACACCGCUAUCUCUAUCGUUUAGCUCGCAUAUUCGACCGAAGAAAGACGUGAGUGAUUACGUGUAUGUGACGAAAGAAGACAGGACAGUGUUCGAGGGUCUCUGUUUUUAGAGAGUCAGUCUGCAUGGCUGUGAAGCCGAGAUGGCACGGAGAAAGACGGAAUGCAAUGGAAAGAAUAAUUGGAUUAUCUGAAAAUAUGGAUGUGGCAGAAAU